UGCCCCAUGGCUGAGUUGGUUACAGCGUCCGACUGUUAAGAUUGAACUAUCGGAAGGUCGAGAGUUCGAGCCUCUCUGGGGCAG